rnacentral:rRNA from 1 species
UUGUCCUUAGUUACCAGCACGUUAAGGUGGGCACUCUAAGGAGACUGCCGGUGACAAACCGGAGGAAGGUGGGGAUGACGUCAAGUCAUCAUGGCCCUUACGGCCUGGGCUACACACGUGCUACAAUGGUCGGUACAAAGGGUUGCCAAGCCGCGAGGUGGAGCUAAUCCCAUAAAACCGAUCGUAGUCCGGAUCGCAGUCUGCAACUCGACUGCGUGAAGUCGGAAUCGCUAGUAAUCGUGAAUCAGAAUGUCACGGUGAAUACGUUCCCGGGCCUUGUACACACCGCCCGUCACACCAUGGGAGUGGGUUGCUCCAGAAGUAGCUAGUCUAACCUUCGGGGGGACGGUUACCACGGAGUGAUUCAUGACUGGGGUGAAGUCGUAACAAGGUAACCGUA